CCUUCUUUAUUUUAAUUCUUUCUCAGAAAAGUCGACAGAGACAGGACUCCUUGAAGCAAAGGUUUGUGCAGCCAAGGCCAGUUACCAUGGUUGCCUUGAUGGUGUCUGCUCCUUGUGUGUUUCCUUUUCACCUCAUCUUCCAGACCUGUUUGGCUUGUGAGUGUUAACUUCUCUGGGUCCUGUUUGCUUCUAGAGCACCUCCUCAUUCAUUCAGAAGCUUUGGUAAGUGUGAAACUGAACCGCAAAGACUGCUGCAGUGAAAAGCCAACAUACUAUCAUUGCACGUAGCAGUUGUUUUGCAAAGCAAGCUUUGGAACCAGCUUUGCGUCCCUUUCAUAGAGGCAGAAUGCCACUUAAUUAAAAAAGCUGUAGCUUUGCUUGUAGCCUCAGGUUAAACAAGUGUUUCUUUAGCAAAAGCCCUAGAGCUGUCCCUACAGCAUCCAGAACAGGGGCCACAAACUGGGCUCCAACAAAUAUAACAAAUAGUGAUAACAUGGCUAUAGAAGCCCACCUGUAUCUACUUCACAUUUAUAUUUAUCUACAGGCAAAUAGCCAAGACAUGUCGUGCCAUAAAUUGCUGUCCUAAAAUGUUUUGCAGAUAAUUUAAAUACUUACAUUUAAAGGUCUGUUUCUUUCCAAACCAAUUUGGGAUAAAACUCUUGUUUCUCAUGAUUCCGUGGCAUUUCACCUACAAAACUCCCUUACUGUUUUAUUACAGUAUAUAAUAUGAUGCAACUAAUGUAACCCAUGUGGUACAGCGUUGUCUGUCUUUAGGAGGGUAAGGGGUUAAGCGAAUAUUCAAAAACCCUUGUUAAAAGAAAUCUUCAUAGCAAGAAAUAUCUUAUUGGUCUGGAUGGGGUGUAUCAGUCACACUUACCCCAUUACUUGAAAUAUGAAGUGAAACACUUUCUCAAAAUUGUGCCUAAAACCAAUCUGAUUUUAAGAGCAGCUUUAAAAUAUGCUUCCUUUCUUUUAUUGGCCUUACUGUUGCAGCCCAUAAACAUUUGGGGUCAAGAGCUCACUUCCUUAAAAUACGCCAAAUGGGAUUAGUCUUGAACUUCUAAGAAGUACAUAUUAGGUGGAAACUGAUGUUUAUUUCGUAUGGAGGGCAUCAUGAUUCUUAUUGGUGGCUUGUUGUUCAUGUAAUUAGACCUAUUUAAAUCACUGUGGGAUUUUUAUUGUCUGUCACACACUGCGGGUUUGCUGCAGUAAAUGCUGAAAGACAAAUGUUAAUAUGGUUAAAAAAAACCCAAACCCCAAACUUAGAAGGGGACUCAAACUCCAGAUGACUCCCCAUCCCAUUUUUUUUCCUCUGAGACCCAGGAAGUCCUUUCUUCCCCAAAAGAAGCACUGGAAUAUAAACACAUCUCACCACAUGAAGUCAGCAUUGCCGAAUCAGUUGGACUUCCAGGAGAUGGGGCCUUGGGGAGCAGUGGCUGGCUGUGCCUUCCUGCCAGUUUCCUGCUCCACUUCUUUCUUAACUUGAGAGGCUGGUUUUACAGGUGAGCAGACUGCAGCACUUACGGGGUGAAGUACAUGCCACAGCUUGGAAAAGUUGCCGGUGCUUCUUCGGAGCACACUGACUCCAGUGCUGAUGCGCUCAGCAGGCAGGAAGCCUCGGAGGACCAAGGAACAGCAGCAAAGAUGUUUGUGAAGGCUCCAGUGCUAGACAAAAUCAAGCAGAUAAUAGGUCCAGUGAAAGUAAGGCAAAAGUCAGCUGAUAAGAAACAUUGCUUAUCCAUAUGCCUGUCUUGGAGGAUGAGGUGAGCAAUUCUAGCAGGAUAGUAUUUUAUCUGUAAAUGUGCUUGUCAGCCUGUUCAGAGCAUAUUUGAACACUGACAUUUUUACAGUGCACAUUUCCCCAAGGAAAUGAAGAUCUGGGCUCCAGUAUUUAGAAGUAUAACUGUGCUUGGUAAUGAAGGGUUAAUUCAGCUUCUGCCUUUCUUGAAUGUGCAUUUCUUUCACUGGGGAGGCCAAGUGUUUAGAACCCUCCCACACCGGAAGCAAAAUUAUGCUCAGCAUGUCUAAACAUGUUUGUUGCUCACAGGGUUUUAACUUUAUUUCCUUGAACAGUAGCAGCAGAGACAUUGUGUCUGGGAACCACGUUAGAAGAACAGGAAAAUGACUGGUCCUGUCCAUUUCACAAAUGCAGGCGUAUUUGGAGGUCCUGCCAAAAGAAAAUGGUGGUCAUUGACUUGUUUUGUUUUCUAGCUCACAGCUUCAUUCAGAAAAUACAACCAUCUCUCAUUAGCCCCGUAAAGUAGAUCUAUACUGCCUGCAGACGAGUAUGUUUCAGAAAGGUUCCCUGAUACCACCAAAUUUGUGUGCAAGAGGGGAACUCUCUCACCCAUUGUUUCAGUAUGUAAUGCAACACAAUGAACCAGUUCUCAGAAAAAUAAUUCCUCUUCGUCCUGUGAGUAAAAUCCUCUGGGACUUGCUUCUCUGCUGCCACAGGCUUUGCAGAGGCACUUACACCUGUGCAAACCAGCGAAAAAAAUAGUGGUUAAAUAUGCUGGAAUGGCUUUAGGAACAUCUCCAUGCAGCUUGCACAGAAGAAAAUGAUGGUGCAGGACUGGAAAAUCAAGGUUUGUUUAUUGAAAGCAGUCCCACUCCCAGGGUCAGGCCUGUGGUUUGGAAGAUGAUACAGACAAGGUCUCAGAUGAAAAACAGGUUGUGCUUGUACUUUUGAAAUCUUCAUUAUAAUGUGUUCUUGUGAGGAUUAAUGUUCUGUAGAAAGUCUUCUGGUUUAUACAGCUAAUCUGAUGCUUGCCAAAUCAUAGAAGAAAUUGUAUAUGAAAAUUAAUUUUGUUCCUCGUUGUUCUAUUUACUUUGGAGGUCACUGCUCCUUUCCUCUUUAUGCAAUCUAAGCAAAACCCACCAGAGCAGAGCUUUGAUCUCCAGGCAAUCACAAACCUCAUUAAACUUGACAGGCACGCUGGCCGUGCUUUGUUUAGGAAGGAGCAGUUCAAUUCCUUUAUGGCAUAAGACUGCUGAAGACUGGAAACCACUGCCGAUGGCACAGGGGUGUGUGGCCAAGCACUGGGACCAGCGGGCUCAUAUGAGCAAGCACUAAUUUGGGGAAAGUCAGAGCCAUUUCUCGAGGGACUGCUCGCAGAUGCAGCAGCAAGAGCACAGAUUGGUUGCAGCUGUGUUUGCCUGUGUGCAUGUCCGGGGCCGGAAACACCACACGAGAGCCAGCAGACAGUGGGAGAAGCAGUGGUGUAUGGCCCUGAGAAAAAGCCAAGGGACAGCUUCUUCUGGGCAAGAAUCCUUGCUAGAGCAGCAAACUUGGACUGCCGCGCAGCACUCCCUCCCAUUUGCUUCCUCUGCAUGCAAGGAAAUGGGACAUGGCUGUACAUUCUUUGUAAAUAAAUAGGAUUACGCUAAAGAGCUAACUGAAUUCAUCAUUGAUCCCCCCUCCCACUCCUCCAAAUAAAACAUGGCAAAGUGCUGAAUAUUA